GCGGUCGUGGUGGAACGGCAGACACGCCACUUUGAGGGGGUGGUGGGAGAAAUCCCGUAUGGGUUCAAAUCCCAUCGACCGCACCA
rnacentral:tRNA from 1 species